rnacentral:rRNA from 1 species
GCGACAGGCUUAACACAUGCUAGUCGAGGGGCCGCGGGGGAGUAGCAAUACUCCCGCCGGCGACCGGCGCACGGGUGAGUAACACGUAUGAAACCUGCCCGUAGCAGGGGGAUAAGCGGAAGAAAUUCCGUCUAAUACCGCGUAACAACCCUUGGAGGCAUCUCCUCGGGUUUAAAGGGAGCGAUUCCGGCUACGGAUGGUCAUGCGCCGCAUUAGCUUGUUGGCGGGGUAACGGCCCACCAAGGCGACGAUGCGUAGGGGUUCUGAGAGGAAGGUCCCCCCACACUGGUACUGAGACACGGACCAGACUCCUACGGGAGGCAGCAGUGAGGAAUAUUGGUCAAUGGCCGCAGGGCUGAACCAGCCAAGUCGCGUGAGGGAUGACGGUCCUAUGGAUUGUAAACCUCUUUUGUCAGGGAGCAUAGGGCGCCACGUGUGGCGUUUUGCGAGUACCUGAAGAAAAAGCAUCGGCUAACUCCGUGCCAGCUGCCGCGGUAAUACGGAGGAUGCGAGCGUUAUCCGGAUUUAUUGGGUUUAAAGGGUGCGC